CUCAGAUAUAGAAUUAGUAGACAGGUUAUUAAAAUAGUUAUACCUAUGUUUCAUAUGGUGACAAAGAUAGAGCAAAAUAUGAGCAUGUUAAGAGAGUCAUGGGAGAUUUUUAAAAACCCAAAUUAAACAUAUGGAAAUGAAAACUACAAUGCCUGAAAUGUAAAAUACAUUGGGGAAAUUAACAACUGAUUAGGUACUGCAGAGAAAAGAUUAUUGAGGUUGAAGGUAUACUAAUCAAAAAGAAACAGAAUGAAAAGACUGUAAACUUAUCAGUGAGCUGUGAGACAACUUUCAGUGACCUAAUAUUAUCAUUAAAGCUCCCAAAGAAUGAAGAAAGAGGAGGGGACUGAAAAAUUAUUUGAAGAAUAUGGUAAACAAUUUUCCAAAAUUGAUGAAAAUUAUAGACCUAAAAUUAAAACUCAGUGAACUGUAAUCAUAGGAAUGUAGAAAUAUAAACCAAGGCUGAUCAUAACCCAUGAUUUUAAAACAGUGAUGAAGUAAAGAGGAAGUCAGCAGAGAAAGGAGACUCAUUAUGUAAAGAAAACAAGAAUAAAAUCAGAUUUCCUUUGGGAAAACAAAGGUAGAAGGCAAUUGAGCAAAAUCCUCAUGCAGUGCUGAAAAGAAAAAUAUUUCCUUGAAUUCUAUGCAAAGUAAAAUAUUUUCGUAAAAAAGUAAAAAUUUGUGUAUGUCCAAUUUUCUCACAGACAUAAGAAAUGAAAGAAUUGAUUUAACAGCAUACCUGCACUAUAAAAAUGUUAAAGUCCUCCAGACAGAUAGAAAAUAAAAUCAGAUGAAAACUUAGAUCUACACAAGACAUGAUAAAAAUGUGUCCAAGUAGCUGUGAGGAGAGAAGAGGAGGAAGCGCCAGGGAGCCCAGAGCCACCAGACAGUGACGCCACAGAGCCACAGCCAUCACACCCGCACAGACACACACCGUCCUCCGCCGUUCAGGCCCGAGAGUCCCGUGAGGACUGGUGUCCCUACUACCGGCCUCCACGCUGUGAGCGCUUCCGCCGCCACCCCUCCUGGUUCACGUCGGGCUCCGAAUUGACUCGCUUCACAGGAUUCCCUCAUCCUGUGCUAACACAUCCACAAAUGAGCUCCACUCACCUUGCGAAGAGGGAGAACCGCGCGAAAACGGAAUGGAAGCCGAAGAUCUGGCGUGACCGCUGCCCUCUGGGAAGUGUCGCUCCAACCUGAACAUCUCCGGGCGCCGCGGCUCGUCAGAAAGGCCGCCGAAGCGCGGAAGUCCCGGUGGAACGGCACCGGGAGAACCGCCCGGAGCCGGGCCCGAGCGCAGGUGUCUCCGCCAGGAGCGCGACGCGAGGGCGCGUGCGCGGGCACGGAGCCUGCGCGGAGGCCGCUGGUGCGCGUGCUCGGCCCAGAGGCGCCGCUGCGCCGGGGAGGCAGAGCAGGGUGGCCUGGCGCCGGCUCCGAGCGUCCGGCCUGUGCGCGCAGAGCCGCGCGGGAGGGUCGGCGGGGCGGCCCCGGGGCGAGAGCGCACGGCGGGUGUGAGCUCUGAGGGCGGGGCCCCGGGCGAGUCCCCUCAGGCGGCUGCAGCCUGGGGACAGCACGUGGGGCAAGUAACUCCUGAUACCGCCUGGAAUGAGCUGGUUUAUUCAGUGUCUGUUAGCUGCGUUUAAAAGGUGUGAAGGAGUGAAGUAAUG
ensembl:lncRNA